UACAGAGGUCUCAAGCGUUGUUCGGAUUCAUUGGGCGUAAAGGGUGCGUAGGCGGCGCGGUAAGUCGGGUGUGAAAUCUCGGGGCUUAACUCCGAAACUGCAUUCGAUACUGCCGUGCUUGAGGACUGGAGAGGAGACUGGAAUUUACGGUGUAGCGGUGAAAUGCGUAGAGAUCGGAAAGAACACCAACGGCGAAAGCACUCUGCUGGGCCGACACUGACACUGAGAGACGAAAGCUAGGGGAGCGAAUGGG
rnacentral:rRNA from 1 species